AUAUUCACGUGGCAGGGGAGAUGCCAUGAUCACUCAGGUGGUUUUCCCAGGGUGAAGCUUAUCCACUGCACUCCGACCUGCUGACCCCUGCAAUUUCCCCAAAUGUGGGAUACUCCACCACGCAAUUUGUGGUACUGGGGGACAGUGUUUGUUUGCUUUUUUUUU
rfam:Tupaia chinensis contig28891, whole genome shotgun sequence.